rnacentral:rRNA from 1 species
GAUGAACGCUGGCGGCGUGCCUAAUACAUGCAAGUCGAGCGAACGGACGAGAAGCUUGCUUCUCUGAUGUUAGCGGCGGACGGGUGAGUAACACGUGGAUAACCUACCUAUAAGACUGGGAUAACUUCGGGAAACCGGAGCUAAUACCGGAUAAUAAUUUGAACCGCAUGGUUCAAAAGUGAAAGACGGUCUUGCUGUCACUUAUAGAUGGAUCCGCGCUGCAUUAGCUAGUUGGUAAGGUAACGGCUUACCAAGGCAACGAUGCAUAGCCGACCUGAGAGGGUGAUCGGCCACACUGGAACUGAGACACGGUCCAGACUCCUACGGGAGGCAGCAGUAGGGAAUCUUCCGCAAUGGGCGAAAGCCUGACGGAGCAACGCCGCGUGAGUGAUGAAGGUCUUCGGAUCGUAAAACUCUGUUAUUAGGGAAGAACAUAUGUGUAAGUAACUGUGCACAUCUUGACGGUACCUAAUCAGAAAGCCACGGCUAACUACGUGCCAGCAGCCGCGGUAAUACGUAGGUGGCAAGCGUUAUCCGGAAUUAUUGGGCGUAAAGCGCGCGUAGGCGGUUUUUUAAGUCUGAUGUGAAAGCCCACGGCUCAACCGUGGAGGGUCAUUGGAAACUGGAAAACUUGAGUGCAGAAGAGGAAAGUGGAAUUCCAUGUGUAGCGGUGAAAUGCGCAGAGAUAUGGAGGAACACCAGUGGCGAAGGCGACUUUCUGGUCUGUAACUGACGCUGAUGUGCGAAAGCGUGGGGAUCAAACAGGAUUAGAUACCCUGGUAGUCCACGCCGUAAACGAUGAGUGCUAAGUGUUAGGGGGUUUCCGCCCCUUAGUGCUGCAGCUAACGCAUUAAGCACUCCGCCUGGGGAGUACGACCGCAAGGUUGAAACUCAAAGGAAUUGACGGGGACCCGCACAAGCGGUGGAGCAUGUGGUUUAAUUCGAAGCAACGCGAAGAACCUUACCAAAUCUUGACAUCCUUUGACAACUCUAGAGAUAGAGCCUUCCCCUUCGGGGGACAAAGUGACAGGUGGUGCAUGGUUGUCGUCAGCUCGUGUCGUGAGAUGUUGGGUUAAGUCCCGCAACGAGCGCAACCCUUAAGCUUAGUUGCCAUCAUUAAGUUGGGCACUCUAAGUUGACUGCCGGUGACAAACCGGAGGAAGGUGGGGAUGACGUCAAAUCAUCAUGCCCCUUAUGAUUUGGGCUACACACGUGCUACAAUGGACAAUACAAAGGGCAGCGAAACCGCGAGGUCAAGCAAAUCCCAUAAAGUUGUUCUCAGUUCGGAUUGUAGUCUGCAACUCGACUACAUGAAGCUGGAAUCGCUAGUAAUCGUAGAUCAGCAUGCUACGGUGAAUACGUUCCCGGGUCU